UACGUAGGGGGCGAGCGUUGUCCGGAAUUACUGGGCGUAAAGCGCGCGUAGGUGGUCCGCCAAGUUCGGCGUGAAAUCUCCAGGCUCAACUUGGAGGGGUCGUCGAAGACUGACGGACUAGGGUCUGGCAGAGGCAGGUAGAAUUCCACGUGUAGCAGUGAAAUGCGUAGAGAUGUGGAGGAACACCGAUGGCGAAGGCAGCCCCCUGGGUCAAAACUGACGCUCAUGCACGAAAGCGUGGGGAGCAAACAGG
rnacentral:rRNA from 1 species